rnacentral:lncRNA from 1 species
UGCUGCAAAGCUCGUGCAGUUAAGAGCGGGGCAGCGUGCGGGCAGUGCUGGAGGCUUGGCGUUGCUGUGCAAGAGAUCCCGGUACUGGUGGCAUUUCCGCAGUUACUCCCAAGGGGGCCAUCAGGACAGGCGCCAAUCGGGAGAACCUCGAAAAGUCGACUCCCAUCUCUUGACGCAAACGUUCUGAUUUCGUGGAGCACACAAUUGUGAACCUGCCACGCGGCCGACAGUAGCGGUUGUCGCCCGAAAGCCAGACGCCGGGGGGUUCGAAACCUGCAUCGCGUGGUCUUGACCGCCGUUGACCUCCAGGCCGGUGGCGCUCUCCCGCUGAGCCGCCCGCACCGUCUACCAGGGCCCGCCCGAAGUAAAACGAAAGAAGUGGCCGGUGCGAAGCCUGCAUAUAUAAUCCAGGGCUCCCUUGCAACCUGCAGCCGAUCGCCGUACGUCUUCACACCAACCAGCGAAAGCCACAGCUCUUCGGCGUGUCCUCCUUCUCUGGUUCGCGAGAACACGACACUUCGGGAGCCCUUUCGGUUCAACUCUCCAGACGUCCCCGGCAGUGUCAGCGACGAGCAUCAAGAUGCGACUGGUCUUCGCCACUGCUGUCUUCCUCGUGGCCGUGGCUACGAUUCACGCCGAAUUGAUCGAUCUCCACAAGCCGGUGCAGAUCUGCUCUGCACAGAUGCUGGUCGAGGUCAUAAACAACGUCUGCCAGACGCCGCUCACAGCCGCUCGUCGUCGCAGGAGGAGCCUCCGCGAUUCUGAUGAGAUGAUUGACGGCGUCGUGAGAAGCACAAGACGGUCCAUGCAGAAGCACGCGCUUAAGCUACCUCACACACUAGUGCGGGAUUUCGCUAACACCUGCUGCUAUACGCCAUGCCAACCAUAUCGUUUCAUCGACAUCUGCUGACCGAGACGGGCAUAAUGCAACAUAUACUUGCUAAAAGCACAAGGAACCUGACGACGUACCCUUAUGGCACUCGGCGUGCAGAGCACAUGAUCUUUUUACGCAGUUCAAAAUGCACAAUCGACUCUGAUACUUCUUGUGAUAGCACUGUGACACGGUAGCACAUUUUUAACACAAUAUAUCUAUUUUUCUGGUAAUGUAUAUAGAAAAGGCUACAUGUGUACCACACGAUUUAUACUUAGGUGUCAAUGUACCGGGACAAUGCAAUGUUCGUACCUCUAGUUCUAUAUAUAUGGAUAUUUUAUCGUCGUUUAUGUAAACGUGCCUAUUGUAACGUGCUCAUAAUUUAUGCACUUUUUUACACUGGUAAUUCAUGCGGUUCUGAUCCCGCGAAAUAAAAUCUAAAAAAAUAUUCUUACUA